GGAUAAUCAGGGUGGUGAGCCCUAAGCUUAAUGAUUUAUGCUAAGAGUUUCACAAAUACAGCAUUGUGUGUGGACAAUAAGCAGAUAUGUGACCAACGCAUCGAUGCAUCAACCAACACCAUGAAAUAUCUAAAUGGUCGGCAUGUUGGUUGGAUAAGUCCACAAAUAUCCUUUUGAAUCCUCUGAAAAAACUUAGAGGGGUCGUGAAUAAUCUUUGUAAUUGAGGG
rnacentral:lncRNA from 1 species